rnacentral:tRNA from 1 species
AGCAGGGUGGCGCAGGGGAAGCGCGCCGGGCUCAUAACCCGGAGGACCGUGGAUCGAAACCACGCUCUGCUA